UAAAUACAGGCACUAGCAUAAACAAGUGAAACUGAAAACCAAACGUUGACUGCAGCUAUCCAAGAUUCUGAUGGCGAUUUGGAAGACGACUGUGAUAUUCAUGAUGGAGAGUUGCAACCCACAAGUUUAUCAAAUAAACUUGUCAAAAGAAGGAAAGCCCAAAAAAGACAUGCAGACAAUGAUGGUGACAGGGGAUUGCUGAACUUGUCUGUGGAAGAGAAACAUGGCAAAGGACAAAACUCUAUUACAACUCUCAAUGAGGACAGUGACGGAGAUGAGUAUGGAGCAAAGCCUUUUGGGAUUUCUUCCACAAGCCCGGUCCAAAGAAAGAAAAUGAAAACCAAGCAUGGAGUGGCUGCUGCUGAUCCUGCUCAAUGCGGUCAUUUGCAAAUUAAAGGGAAGACCCCAUGGAAUGAGCAGGAGAAGCUGGCAGUUAAGCAACUCUUGGCUGUUUUUGCGGAAGGUGCCAGGAAAAAAGACUGUAUCCUAUGCAUUGAAAAAUCCUCUCCUUCUCCAAAAGAGAACCUGGAAAGAACAUGGAUUAUGUGUAAAAUGAAAUUAUAAAGAUUACAAACUCACUAAAACAUUAAGGCAUUUCUAAGUGUCUCGAAACUUACACAAAUGUUAAUGUUUAAAAAGCUGUAAGGCUUCUGUUUAUAUAAUAAAAAUGUGUUAAAAUGCAA